GACGAACGCUGGCGGCGUGCCUAAUACAUGCAAGUCGAACGAGAGCGCCCGGUGCUUGCACUGGUCAAUCUAGUGGCGAGCGGGUGAGUAACACGUGGGUAACCUGCCCAUCAGAGGGGGAUAACAUCCGGAAACGGAUGCUAAAACCGCAUAGGUCUUCGAACCGCAUGGUUUGAAGAGGAAAAGAGGCGCAAGCUUCUGCUGAUGGAUGGACCCGCGGUGCAUUAGCUAGUUGGUGAGGUAACGGCUCACCAAGGCCGUGAUGCAUAGCCGACCUGAGAGGGUGAUCGGCCACAUUGGGACUGAGACACGGCCCAAACUCCUACGGGAGGCAGCAGUAGGGAAUCUUCCGCAAUGGACGCAAGUCUGACGGAGCAACGCCGCGUGAGUGAAGAAGGUUUUCGGAUCGUAAAACUCUGUUGUUAGAGAAGAACAAGUGCUAGAGUAACUGUUAGCGCCUUGACGGUAUCUAAACAGAAAGCCACGGCUAACUACGUG
rnacentral:rRNA from 1 species